rnacentral:rRNA from 1 species
GCUAGGCGGUUUGUCGCGUCUGCUGUGAAAUCCCGAGGCUCAACCUCGGGCCUGCAGUGGGUACGGGCAGACUAGAGUGCGGUAGGGGAGAUUGGAAUUCCUGGUGUAGCGGUGGAAUGCGCAGAUAUCAGGAGGAACACCGAUGGCGAAGGCAGAUCUCUGGGCCGUAACUGACGCUGAGGAGCGAAAGGGUGGGGAGCAAACAGGCUUAGAUACCCUGGUAGUCCACCCCGUAAACGUUGGGAACUAGUUGUGGGGACCAUUCCACGGUUUCCGUGACGCAGCUAACGCAUUAAGUUCCCCGCCUGGGGAGUACGGCCGCAAGGCUAAAACUCAAAGGAAUUGACGGGGACCCGCACAAGCGGCGGAGCAUGCGGAUUAAUUCGAUGCAACGCGAAGAACCUUACCAAGGCUUGACAUACACCAGAACACCGUAGAAAUACGGGACUCUUUGGACACUGGUGAACAGGUGGUGCAUGGUUGUCGUCAGCUCGUGUCGUGAGAUGUGGGGUAAAGUCCCGCAACGAGCGCAACCCUCGUUCUAUGUUGCCAGCA